rnacentral:hammerhead_ribozyme from 1 species
ACCUAGCUGACGAGUCCCGAGUAGGACGAAACGGGUGUCCUUGAU